rnacentral:rRNA from 1 species
AGUGGGGGCCUGCCUAAUAAUGCAAGUCGAGCGGACAGAUGGGAGCUUGCUCCCUGAUGUUAGCGGCGGACGGGUGAGUAACACGUGGGUAACCUGCCUGUAAGACUGGGAUAACUCCGGGAAACCGGGGCUAAUACCGGAUGCUUGUUUGAACCGCAUGGUUCAAACAUAAAAGGUGGCUUCGGCUACCACUUACAGAUGGACCCGCGGCGCAUUAGCUAGUUGGUGAGGUAACGGCUCACCAAGGCAACGAUGCGUAGCCGACCUGAGAGGGUGAUCGGCCACACUGGGACUGAGACACGGCCCAGACUCCUACGGGAGGCAGCAGUAGGGAAUCUUCCGCAAUGGACGAAAGUCUGACGGAGCAACGCCGCGUGAGUGAUGAAGGUUUUCGGAUCGUAAAGCUCUGUUGUUAGGGAAGAACAAGUACCGUUCGAAUAGGGCGGUACCUUGACGGUACCUAACCAGAAAGCCACGGCUAACUACGUGCCAGCAGCCGCGGUAAUACGUAGGUGGCAAGCGUUGUCCGGAAUUAUUGGGCGUAAAGGGCUCGCAGGCGGUUCCUUAAGUCUGAUGUGAAAGCCCCCGGCUCAACCGGGGAGGGUCAUUGGAAACUGGGGAACUUGAGUGCAGAAGAGGAGAGUGGAAUUCCACGUGUAGCGGUGAAAUGCGUAGAGAUGUGGAGGAACACCAGUGGCGAAGGCGACUCUCUGGUCUGUAACUGACGCUGAGGAGCGAAAGCGUGGGGAGCGAACAGGAUUAGAUACCCUGGUAGUCCACGCCGUAAACGAUGAGUGCUAAGUGUUAGGGGGUUUCCGCCCCUUAGUGCUGCAGCUAACGCAUUAAGCACUCCGCCUGGGGGAGUACGGUCGCAAGACUGAAACUCAAAGGAAUUGACGGGGGGCUCGCACAAGCGGUGGAGCAUGUGUUUUAAUUCGAAGCAACGCGAAGAACCUUACCAG